rnacentral:rRNA from 1 species
CAAGGAGGGGGGGCCUCUGGGUCACCUCCCACCCGUGUCUAUCGUACCUUGUUGCUUCGGCGGGCCCGCCGUUUCGACGGCCGCCGGGGAGGCCUUGCGCCCCCGGGCCCGCGCCCGCCGAAGACCCCAACAUGAACGCUGUUCUGAAAGUAUGCAGUCUGAGUUGAUUAUCGUAAUCAGUUAAAACUUUCAACAACGGAUCUCUUGGUUCCGGCAUCGAUGAAGAACGCAGCGAAAUGCGAUAAGUAAUGUGAAUUGCAGAAUUCAGUGAAUCAUCGAGUCUUUGAACGCACAUUGCGCCCCCUGGUAUUCCGGGGGGCAUGCCUGUCCGAGCGUCAUUGCUGCCCUCAAGCACGGCUUGUGUGUUGGGCCCCCGUCCCCCUCUCCCGGGGGACGGGCCCGAAAGGCAGCGGCGGCACCGCGUCCGGUCCUCGAGCGUAUGGGGCUUUGUCACCUGCUCUGUAGGCCCGGCCGGCGCCAGCCGACACCCAACUUUAUUUUUCUAAGGUUGACCUCGGAUCAGGUAGGGAUACCCGCUGAACUUAAGCAUAUCAAUAAGCGGAGGAAA